UUGGAGAGUUUGAUCCUGGCUCAGGAGAACGCUGGCGGCGUGCCUAAAACAUGCAAGUCGAGCGGACGGAUGGGAGCUUGCCCCCGGAAGUUAGCGGCGGGCGGGUGAGUAACACGUGGGCAACCUGCCCUAUAGUUGGGGAUAACUCCGGGAAACCGGGGCUAAUACCGAAUGAUAUAAUUUAGCUCCUGUUAGAUGUUAAAAGGUGGUUUAGCUAUCGCUAUAGGAUGGGCCCGCGGCGCAUUAGCUAGUUGGUGAGGUAACGGCUCACCAAGGCGAGAUGCGUAGCCGACCUGAGAGGGUGAUCGGCCACACUGGGACUGAGACACGGCCCAGACUCCUAGGGAGGCAGCAGUAGGGAUCUUCCCCAAGGGCGAAAGCCUGAGGAGCAACGCCGCGUGAAUGAAAGGUUUCGGACGUAAAACUCUGUUGUAAGGAAACAAUCAUAUUAACGGCU
rnacentral:rRNA from 1 species